GACGAACGCUGGCGGCGUGCUUAACACAUGCAAAUCGAGCGGUAAGGCCCUUUCGGGGGUACACGAGCGGCGAACGGGUGAGUAACACGUGGGUGACCUGCCCUCAGCUCUGGGAUAAGCCUGGGAAACCGGGUCUAAUACUGGAUAUGACUCCAUGACGCAUGUUGUGGGGUGGAAAGCCUUGUGCGGCUGAGGAUGGGCCCGCGGCCUAUCAGCUUGUUGGUGGGGUGAUGUCCUACCAAGGCGACGACGGGUAGCCGGCCUGAGAGGGCGACCGGCCACACUGGGACUGAGACACGGCCCAGACUCCUACGGGAGGCAGCAGUGGGGAAUCUUGCGCAAUGGGCGAAAGCCUGACGCAGCGACGCCGCGUGAGGGAUGACGGCCU
rnacentral:rRNA from 1 species